AUCUUAUUCUGGUAACUGAGGACUGCUUUUAUACUUCAAUUGCCUCUCUGUAGCAUCACAUGAAACUAUUCUGUAUGGUAUGAAUUUAUUAUUAACUUAUUGACCUAGGAUGUAGAAAUUAUGAUCUUUCCUUGUGGUAAAUGUGUUUGAGUUGAUGUGUUUGUCUUUCUUGCCUUGGUCUUUAGCAUCAUAUUAAAAUAAUUCUUAUGAUGUGAAUAUAAUGUUCUUCAGUUGAAUCCAUAAUUUGGCAAAUGUGAUAUUUUCUGUGGUUGUCAUGUUUUGUGUUGAUAUUAUGUCAUCGUCUUCUAAUCUAUCAAAAAAACAAAAAUUAUGUCUGAUUGUCUUCUAGUUUAUGUGUCAUACUUUCUCAUUAUUUUGUAAUAUUGGCUGUGUGAAAUGGUCUUGCAGGAUUAUCUAGACUGCUGCAGUUUUGGCUUUUGUUGGGAAGCUAAUAUUUGGAGAACUUUGAUGGGUUGGCUAGAGGGAGGGCAUAGAUCACUGGAGUUUUUCAUAGAGGAUUUUUGCAUCUGCAUCCCACCUGAUUGUAUCACCUGCACUUCUGUUUUUCAGUAUUUUAUGUAGGUGUUCUUUGGA